UACGUAGGGUGCGAGCGUUGUCCGGAAUUACUGGGCGUAAAGAGCUCGUAGGUGGUUUGUCGCGUUGUUCGUGAAAACUCACAACUCAAUUGUGGGCGUGCGGGCGAUACGGGCAGACUGGAGUACUGCAGGGGAGACUGGAAUUCCUGGUGUAGCGGUGGAAUGCGCAGAUAUCAGGAGGAACACCGGUGGCGAAGGCGGGUCUCUGGACCGAUACUGACGCUGAGGCGCGAAAGCGUGGGGAGCAAACAGG
rnacentral:rRNA from 1 species